rnacentral:tRNA from 1 species
GGGGUUGUAGCUCAGUAGUAGAGCGCUCGCCUAGCAUGUGCGAGGCCCUGGGUUCAAUCCUCAGCACCACA